rnacentral:rRNA from 1 species
UACGAGGGGGGCUAGCGUUGCUCGGAAUUACUGGGCGUAAAGCGCACGUAGGCGGCUUGUUAAGUCGGAGGUGAAAUCCUGGAGCUCAACUCCAGAACUGCCUUCGAUACUGGCGAGCUUGAGUUCGGGAGAGGUGAGUGGAACUGCGAGUGUAGAGGUGAAAUUCGUAGAUAUUCGCAAGAACACCAGUGGCGAAGGCGGCUCACUGGCCCGGUACUGACGCUGAGGUGCGAAAGCGUGGGGAGCAAACAGG